CUGGUUCUUAUUAUGGCUGCAGAGAUGAGCACGAGAAAUAUGUGGGCAGCAUCCAGGGAAAGAAGAGAAUAUUAAUAGAUAGCAUAUUCAAAGGCUCAAAGGACUCCACGGCCCUCAAGUAUCUUGGUAAUGCUUACAAGAGGUGUGCAAGGAUGGGCAGAGAUAUCUGAAGGAGGCUGCAGAGUCACAGAAGUAAGGCUACUUGAGUUGUGGACCCAGCCAUGGAAGACCCAGACCUGAACUAGAAGUAUGUAUGGCCAGAUCAAGCAAAACCCAAGGACUUCCUGACAUACUUUCAUCAUUGCCAAUGGUUGAAGUUCUGAACAGCAGACGCUUGGCUGUUUUCUUCCUCCAGCUCCAGGAUUUCUCUUCUGGAUGACCAUAUAUGGUAUUCUCUAGUAGACAAAAACACAUGGAUUUAAAAGCUUGUACUGUACUGUGCAAAUUUUAUGUUGGUCCUAAUAAAGCUAUUGUUUUUCUGUUUCUGCGUAUAAUUGUUCUAA